rnacentral:lncRNA from 1 species
AGGUGCACUAAGCUGGAGCCUGGCAUGUAUGCCUGCUGGGCUGUGUUCACCCAAUAUCAUUGAAUUUUGGUGAUGACAAGAAAAAUAUAAUAUUCCCAGGACAGUGUGAAAACAAGCAUCUUUUGCGAAAGGAAUUCCUGGGUUAUACCAAAAUGACUGAAAUUAGGGAAAGGUUCUUUUGAAGACAGCAGGUUCAUCCGGUGGGACUAAAUCAUUUGCAAUCCAGACUUAGCCUUCAAGCUUGCAGUAUGCAUAUCUUGGCACCCAUAUGUCACAUACUCUUGUAAGGAUAGUCUUUAAGAUUUAAAUAUUUUUUAUCAAGGACCUUUGCCGAUUUUGAACACAUUGUGGGAAUCAAAAUCUUUAGGUAAAUGAGAUUUUAGUUUAUGAAUCUUUCUGGGUUUUAGUUUGUUAAAGAUUUAUGUAAGCUGCCAAGGAUAUUAAGCAGAUUUUGAAGUCUUCCAUCAAUCUUAAUACUAUUGAAUUUUUUAGUUGGUCGAAGCGGCUCAUUCUUUUCUUUUUCCCUCUCCAGUAUUUGAUAUCUCAUCUUCUUAUCUUUGCCCUAGGUGCUCUUUGCAAGUCUCAUUGCAUCAACAAGCCAACCGCUUGUAAUCAAGAGUGAUUUGGCACAGUUCUUUCUGUUGUUCUACCAGCUUAAAAGCAGUUGACAGGAUUUUGUCAUAUUCAAGGAAAGUCAGUUCUCUUCCCAAUCUUCUCCAGUGUUACUAUAGACAACCAGCUU